rnacentral:misc_RNA from 1 species
UGGUUCAACAGGCUCUUUACAACUGAAAAGACACAAGCACAACAUCAGCAUCAUCAGGGAAACAGCUCACUUCAUGAAGCAUUAGAAGAAAAAAUGAAAAGGAAAUUGCAUUUUUUACCGAAGGUCCAUCCUCUUUGGAGUUGCAUAGCAUUGCAACCAAGAGUUUGACACCUUGCAAUAUCAAAUUUUAAGUCCCAUGCUGAAGAGGUCAAUUUUUUAAGGAAAUUUGCUUCCCAACCCCAUGUCCCCAACAGAGGGUUCCUAGGAGUUCACCUCACAACGCAGUUAAACCAUUCUUCUACUUGUCCAAAUUGGAUUAUAUUCAAUGCACAGGUAAAUCCAAGUGCAUUUUUUUGUGGGUGCUGGGAGGAUAGUGAGUCAGGCAAAUCUUCAGUAAAGCACAUAAAUCAUAACGAUACAAUACACAUAGACUUGAUAACCGCCCUGACAUAGAGAAAAGACUGCAUGGGGAAGAAGGUAGAUUGUAAAGAUGAGGAAGUUGGAGGCUGAUGGCGAAAUUGUGGCACUUUACCUUGCCUCGUUGAGGACUGCCAAA